CUCUUUCUUUCACUCUUCUCAUUCUUUCACCCAUUUUUCCUCUCCCAGAGCCUCAGAGAGAGAGAGAGAGAGAGAGAGAGAGAGACCGGGAAAGAUGACUCGGGGAAAGCAGAAGAUUGAAGCGCAAAAACGAAAUGCGGAGAAGAAUCAGAAGCAAAAAGGGUCUCAAUUUGAGGCCAGAGCCGUUGCUCUCAAAAUCACUUGUCCUAUUUGCAAGGUGCAACUUGCAAAUCCAAAGCAGCUUGGUGAUCACUAUGCUUCCAAACAUCCCAGAGAAAAGCCUCCAGCUGAAUCAGAAUGACCCCUUUCUCAUGUGGAAUACAGUGUGACAAUAAAAAACGAACCUACAAUGAGAAAGAAUUAGAGGGAUCAGAUAUGCUGAGAUUACUUGCAAAAUAAUAAGGCUGGACGAGAUCUUUGAAACCGUUGAGAACCAGCUACUCACUGGUCUAGCUGAUAUUCAUCUUCCACAAGAGGAGAAGAGGCGUUUUGAAAUUUAUGUUAUUGUGAAAGCUGACCAGGUUCUACUGAUAGGAUUUCAGAAUUGCAUAAACAGUCUGAUCGGCCUUGCUACUCUUGUUUGUUUUGCGUUAUAAACUCAAAUAUGUCACAAUCCUUUAUAUAUGGAUCAUUGAUUAACAAAAGUCCAGCAUGAGCAAGUGCUAGAAGAGGAGAUCAAAAGUAUCAAAGGGACAGAAAAGCACCAGAAUUAGAUAGCUACAUCGUUUGAUUCUGUAUAAAGCUUGGAAUAUUGUGGUUAAGGAUUUCCACAGCUAUCAAAACCUUCAAUACUAAAUGCAUUGUUCACCCGUUUUGAUUUAA